UACGUAGGGCGCAAGCGUUUAUCCGGAAUUAUUGGGCGUAAAGAGCUCGUAGGCGGUUUGUCGCGUCUGCCGGUGAAAGUCCGGGGCUCAACUCCGGAUCUGCGGUGGGUACGGGCAGACUAGAGUGAUGUAGGGGAGACUGGAAUUCCUGGUGUAGCGGUGAAAUGCGCAGAUAUCAGGAGGAACACCGAUGGCGAAGGCAGGUCUCUGGGCAUUAACUGACGCUGAGGAGCGAAAGCAUGGGGGAGCGAACAGG
rnacentral:rRNA from 1 species